rnacentral:rRNA from 1 species
UGGGGAAUCUUGCGCAAUGGGCGAAAGCCUGACGCAGCGACGCCGCGUGGGGGAUGAAGGCCUUCGGGUUGUAAACCUCUUUCGGCGGGGAAGAAGCGAAAGUGACGGUACCCGCAGAAGAAGCCCCGGCUAACUACGUGCCAGCAGCCGCGGUAAGACGUAGGGGGCGAGCGUUGUCCGGAUUCAUUGGGCGUAAAGCGCGCGCAGGCGGCCCGCCAAGUCGGAUGUGAAAACCCGGGGCUCAACCCCGGGCCUGCAUCCGAUACUGGCGGGCUAGAGGUCGGUAGGGGAGAGCGGAAUUCCUGGUGUAGCGGUGAAAUGCGCAGAUAUCAGGAGGAACACCCGUGGCGAAGGCGGCUCUCUGGGCCGAUCCUGACGCUCAGGCGCGAAAGCUAGGGGAGCAAACAGG